CCCCUGCCGGCCGGGGUGCUCUAGAUGCCGCGCGGAGACCCUCUGCACCCAUGCGCACAUGGCGCUGCAAGCGGUGCGGAGCGUGCGGGCCGCGGUCGGCAGCCUGCGCGCCGUCUCAGCACCCAGCGCGCCCUGCUCGCCGCGGCCCUGGGGACUGCGGGCGGGUGCCGUCCGGGCACUGCGCACCGGCCCUGCUCUGCUGUCGGUGCGGAAAUUCACAGAAAAACACGAAUGGGUAACAACAGAAAACGGUGUUGGAACAGUGGGAAUCAGCAAUUUUGCACAGGAAGCUUUGGGAGAUGUUGUUUACUGUAGUCUGCCUGAAGUUGGGACAAAGUUGAAUAAACAAGAGGAGUUUGGUGCUUUGGAAAGUGUGAAAGCUGCUAGUGAACUCUAUUCCCCUCUAUCAGGAGAAGUAACGGAAAUUAAUAAAGCUCUAGCAGAAAAUCCAGGACUUGUCAACAAGUCUUGUUAUGAAGAUGGUUGGCUGAUCAAGAUGACAUUCAGUAACCCUUCAGAACUAGAUGAACUAAUGAGUGAAGAAGCAUAUGAAAAAUACAUAAAAUCUAUUGAGGAAUGAAAAUGGAACCCCUAAAUAAACUACUUUGAAACAACUUAA